UCAGCUCGUUUAUAUAUAUUUUAUAUUUAUAUAUAUAAAUAAAUAAUUAUAUAUGUAUAUAAAAUUUAAUUUUGUAUUAUUUAAUUUUUAGUUCAAUUUAAAUAUAAAGUUUAAUUCAACUAUAAAAUAAUUAAUUUAUAUAUAAAAUUUCAACCAUUAGAUGAAAAUAUAACGGAUAAAAUCUUAUAUAUUUAUUUUCAAAGCAUAUUUCUCUAAUUUUUUUAAAUUCUUACGCAUAAACCGGUUCGUAUUCAGCUCGUUAAUAAACGAGCAAAGACAGCCGAAAAAUUUGGCUCGACGCUUUAAUUAGCCAGCUCGUGUUCCGCUAGUUGACA
rnacentral:lncRNA from 1 species